rnacentral:lncRNA from 1 species
GAGAAGCUUAAAGUUGAUUUUCUUGCCAACGUGCGAGAUUACAACGAUCUGGUGGAUCUGGGUCCUCAUGUCUGUCCUGGUUUUGAGGCUGAGGAUGUCCACAACUGGGCCCGCAAGUACCCAAAAGAAGCUACUGAAGUCCGGAAUCGGGCACUUGCGGAAGAAGAGGAUGAAGAAGAUGAAGAAGUGGAGGCUUCGGGAGACAACACUACU